AUUGAACGCUGGCGGCAGGCUUAACACAUGCAAGUCGAGCGAGCGGCGGACGGGUGAGUAAUGUAUGGGGAUCUGCCCGAUGGAGGGGGAUAACUACUGGAAACGGUGGCUAAUACCGCAUACCAUCGGAUGUACCCAGAUGGGAUUAGCUAGUAGGUGGGGUAAAGGCUCACCUAGGCGACGAUCCCUAGCUGGUCUGCGAGGAUGAUCAGCCACACUGGGACUGAGACACGGGCCAGACGCCUACGGGAGGCAGCAGUGGGGAAUAUUGCACAAUGGGCGCAAGCCUGAUGCAGCCAUGCCGCGUGUAUGAAGAAGGCCUGCGGGUUGUAAAGUACUUUCAGCGAGGAGGCGUUACCCGCAGAAGAAGCACCGGCUAACUCCGUGCCAGCAGCCGCGGUAAUAC
rnacentral:rRNA from 1 species